CGGCUUCUAUGUCAUCAUGUUUUCUUUUGAACUCUUCAUUUACUUCAGCCCUCCUCCUCUGGAGUUCAGCUGUCAAGAGUGAAUCCUGCUCACCAACGAUUUAAGAGAGUCAAUCAACACUGGGCAAAAGGAACCAAAACUAAAGCUGAAGGUUACUGAACAUACGAAAAGAUGAUGUAUGCUCGGAGUUCUUGGCGCCAUACUCGGCUUCUACGUCAUCAUGCUUCCUUUUGAAUUGUUCAUUUAAUUCAGCACUCCUCCUCUGGAAUUCAGCUUUCAAGAGUGAUUUCUGCUCGCUCACAAACAAUUUAAGAGUCAAUGGAAAUAAGGAACCAAAAACUAGAGCAUCUCCAGUUUAUGCGGAAAUGGAUCACUGAACACAGGGGGAACAUGUUUAGUGGCACUCUGUCCAUGAGCCGUAGCAGAAUUGUUGACAAGUGGUGGAACAGGAGCUGCUGAGGACUCCACA